rnacentral:rRNA from 1 species
UGGGGAAUAUUGCACAAUGGGCGCAAGCCUGAUGCAGCCAUGCCGCGUGUGUGAAGAAGGCCUUCGGGUUGUAAAGCACUUUCAGCGAGGAGGAAGGUGGUGAGCUUAAUACGCUCAUCAAUUGACGUUACUCGCAGAAGAAGCACCGGCUAACUCCGUGCCAGCAGCCGCGGUAAUACGGAGGGUGCAAGCGUUAAUCGGAAUUACUGGGCGUAAAGCGCACGCAGGCGGUUUGUUAAGUCAGAUGUGAAAUCCCCGGGCUCAACCUGGGAACUGCAUUUGAAACUGGCAAGCUAGAGUCUCGUAGAGGGGGGUAGAAUUCCAGGUGUAGCGGUGAAAUGCGUAGAGAUCUGGAGGAAUACCGGUGGCGAAGGCGGCCCCCUGGACGAAGACUGACGCUCAGGUGCGAAAGCGUGGGGAGCAAACAGAUUAGAUACCCUGGUAGUCCAGCGCUGUAAACGAUGUCGAUUUUGGAGGUUGUGCCCUUGAGGCGUGGCUUCCGGAGCUAACGCGUUAAAUCGACCGCCUGGGGAGUACGGCCGCAAGGUUAAAACUUAAAGGAAUUGACGGGGUCUAGCUG